UGGGGAAUCUUGCACAAUGGGGGAAACCCUGAUGCAGCGACGCCGCGUGAGCGAUGAAGGUUUUCGAAUCGUAAAGCUCUGUCCUAUGGGAAGAUAAUGACGGUACCAUGGGAGGAAGCCCCGGCUAACUACGUGCCAGCAGCCGCGGUAAUACGUAGGGGGCGAGCGUUGUCCGGAAUUACUGGGCGUAAAGGGUUCGUAGGCGGCAUGGCAAGUCCGAUGUAAAAGGCGAAGGCUCAACCUUCGUAAGCAUCGGAAACUGUCAAGCUUGAGGGAAGGAGAGGCAAGUGGAAUUCCUAGUGUAGCGGUGGAAUGCGUAGAUAUUAGGAGGAAUACCGGUGGCGAGGCGACUUGCUGGACUUCAACUGACGCUGAGGAACGAAAGCGUGGGUAGCAAACAGG
rnacentral:rRNA from 1 species